CUCUUUUCGGUCUUCGUAUGAAGACUGAUUUCGGUGAUGUGUUGAACAGUGGGAACGCAGUACAGCAGUUGUUGGCAGGCUCGUGCCAGGGUGGUGGAAGGCAAGGAUAGUUUGCAUUCAAGAGGAGAGGAGCUAUAUACACCGGUCCCAAUGCCAUGGGUCUCUCAAAUAGAAUAUCGUUCUAAAAUAAUGUUCUCAAGCCCAGCCAGCUGGGUUCUGCUUCUCAGAGGUGUUUGGCAGUGCGUCGGCGUUUCGGGUUGUGUCAGUAACACCCGUCCUUCCAGGAAUCGUCCACAGUGCUUGGCGUGGCUUUUGCUGAUUGAAGAAAUCUGGUUUGGGAGACAAAGAAUCACUCACAGCUACAAGAAACAACGUUCCCAGUAACCUGCUGACAUGCACAGGAAUGUGUUGGAGGCUUUGGCUUACACUUGGCUUUUGGAGUACGUGCCUGCCUUAGGUAAAGUGCAGCAGCCACCCCCCCAGGUCUGCAGCUACUUCAGAAAUGACAUAUUUCACCUGCUGUGCUACAUUAUGAGCACUACUGUCAGUUUUUCCUCAUGCCAGAGGUCAGAAUAAAUACAUUUUUCUGGCAAGUGUGGCUAAAUACAUGAAAUAGCAUCAGGCUGUAUAUAGAGUACUGCUACAAGUUAAGCACUUACUGUGUUUUGUUUUAAAGUAGAUAUGAUACGGGUCAACUUAAGGCUACAAAGGGACACCUACACAUCAGAAAGUCACAAUGCAAUAUUGUUUAUCAACCUGGUGUAGAAUCAACGUGAUUUUCCAUUACAAGUUUACAUUAAAAUCGCACUGCAAAGAGCUGUAAAAAGAAAAUGUAGCUUUUGGCUAUUUGGUAGAGGAUUUGCCAUGCAUGGGAGUACAGCAGAUGCCUGGGGAUGAUGGAAUAAGAGAACACUUAGCUCUAAUGGCACAAAGCACUCCAUGCAUAUGGUUGGUACGACCAUUUUAAAGGCUGCUUUCUUCCUUAAUGAGUUUAUGCUCUAACUAAGGUGCUGUCGCUUUAGACUAUCUACAGACUUCAGCUAUCCACUGCUUAAAUAUUUAAGUAUCCAAUCAUAAAAACGGAAGAGUUAGGAAUAAUUGUUAAAAACAAUCCGAUCACACCACACUGAGUUAAAAUACAGCCUCUCCAUCAGUUCCUUGUGCAACAAGGGCACAAAUUAUGGGUCAAGGAUACUUUGGGUUUUGCUUUCACCCUUCUGAAAAGGGUAUGAAGUUAUUUUAAUGACACAGGACAAAUAAUCAAGGUUUGUCCCACGGAUAUGUCCAUGAUACCUACUUUUCAGAUUCUUCUACAAACUCACUGGGCCUUGGAAAAUGUCCUUAGCUAAAGAUGGAGGCAGCAAAGUCAGGCAUCUGGGAAGAUUUCUAUAUUACCAGUAAAGAGUGUUUAUUAGUCUCCUGGGAAGAUGUUUCCCUUCCUAAAGCCAGAGAUAUGAACCAAAUAAAGAUAUGCCAUAAUGUUCAUUUCUUACACAAAUCAAGUUGAGCCACGAUUCACCAGUUUCCCAAUCAAGCGGCUUAGGAGACACAACCAGCAGCUCUGCCUCAACUCUAUCUUCAUGGCUCUCUUUUAAAAGAAACCCAAAACGAGUAUCGCUCUAUUUAAAGUUUCUCAUCUGUGGAAUAAAGGCAGAGAUUCCAGCCUGCGAGGCUUAAAGUCUUACCUCUUGGACGGCGGUGUCAGCUUGCUUUUGGGCACUGAAGUUCCUCCAACAGAUGUGCGCGCUUUCAUGGGUGAGUUUUUUGCCACGGUGACCAUGCUUCUAGUAGUGGAACUGCCACUGGAAGAGCCUGUGCUAAGGGAAGAAGCCUGUGGCUUUCGAACUCCACUAACAGGAGCUGUAUAACUGCAUGCUUUCACUGGCUGCCUGGGUGUUAACAGAGAGUUUGUGCAUGACCCAGCUUUCAUUGGUUGGCGCACUGUUAGGGGAGACUGCCCAGCACUGGAGGAAUACCUGAGCUUACUGGGAGCCAGACCUAGAAACGGAAUGACAAAUAACAACUCAGUAUUUUAAGAACACAUCAGGGUACCGGGCCUCUUAAGGGCCUCCGUGUUUGUCAGGAAGUUUUAAACAGAAAAGGAAUUAAAAAAAAGGAAAACAAAAGAUAUCCACUAGAGCAGCGUGUAGAACUGUUGCACUGACUUGCUGAUGGUUGCUGAAUUCGUGAAAGUCGACUGCUGGGCACCUGCAGAUCCGACUCCAAACUCCGACUGCUUCUCACUGACUCCAAAGCUCGAAGGCUCGUCCUGGCCAGGUUGGGCAUGCUGUGGCGCAUCUCCUCUUCACUGUUGGCAUACUUCAGCCGGUCUUGCAUUGGGCUUUGCACAGAUCUCCGCGGGGGACGGAUACGAGAAGCAGAGGCCCUGCUAUAGUCUGCGCUGGAAGAAGGGGACUGACAUCUGGGGGAGCUGAGCGGAGAUGGUGAGUAUCUGUGAGCGCUGCGGUACGACAGGGAACAGUCGUAAUCAUCCUCAUCCUCCAGGCUGUACGUGUCGAACUCCUGGUCGCUGUAGGUACCCCUGCGCAGGGAGUGCAGGGAGGCACUGGAGCUGCGACGCGAUACGGAGGCUGAGCUGGAGGCGCAGUCCUGGCGGAGACCUGCAGGUGGGCGGUAAGGCAGCUCCAUGUCAUCCUACCUCACAGCAACACCUCCCCACCCGUGUGCAACACUACACAAGAAGCAAUGCUUCUGCUGGUCAUUGGUUUCACUUUGGAAGGAGGCCUGGGCUAACAUAACUGUCUUCGCAAAGACACGCUCAGCAUAUUGGAUCUCUAAGCUGGAACAGUGUCACCUGUAUCAGUGCUGUUUCAUCAGAGCAAAGGGUUAAUAUUCAAAAUGACCCAAAUUACUCUUUAUGUCACCUGCAUGAGUAGCAACGCUUGCAGACUACGCAUCGCUAUGCAAGCUGUUAGGUAAAACACACACACGAGUCUAAUUGACAGCGUGAAUGUUUUAGUGCAAUUGACUGUGCACCCACCUGCAUUUCAACAGGUUGAAGCAUAGAUCUGAACGUUUGCCUUGCAAGUGAAUAAAAACCUGCUUUUCAUUGUGUGCAUCUGCCUGGCCUCCUUUCAGCUCCUCACCCAACUGGUGCCUUUAUAGAAGCUUUCCUGCCUAACAGAACACAACCCACUUCUUACCAGUAACUCGCGUGGCAAACUGGUUUGAAGGGACUUUUAAGAAAUGAGCCAGUUCACAUUCUGAACAACUUCUUCCUCUCUGCAACAAGCAAAGCGUUCAUUGGAAGGAAAACAGAACUUAUUUCUUAUUUCUUGCGAAUCCAAUGAUGAAUUUGCAGUGCCCAACACAUCCAACUGCUUUGUUCCACCUCGAUCUUCAAUGAGGACCUUAUUCAAAUCACACUGAGGUCAACGCAAAUUCACCAGUGAUUUAAUGGGAGCUGCACUGCGGCCCUGAAAUCCCCCCACGCUGCGAC
rnacentral:lncRNA from 1 species